UAUAACUGCACGGCUAGUAUGGCCAUAAUAAGACAACAUGUGAAGUGACUGAUUAAAUUGAGUCACUUUUUGAUAUCAGUCUUAAAUGUUAGCAUAGGGUGUACAUGGGACUCAUUUUAUUUGUGUGAUUCGGCAUUAGUCCCAGUGACACUGUAACUUUUCUGCUCUGUGCAAAUAGGUUUUUCAAAUGUUAUUUUUUUCCGAAAAUCUCUCAUUUGUGGUUGUUGUUUGUAUUGUCUAUGGUUUUUUGACAAUUAAAAUGUCACCAAACGUCAAACUUGAAGAAAAUUUUGACUGUUUGGUGCUUUCGAGAGUUUCGAGUGUAAUGAACUGUAAUGUUUUGGUAAUAUUACUUUGCUUUGCGCUACCCCAUGGAUUCAUAUUGGCUCAUUAAACUACUUUAUUGAGUUUCUUGGACAUCGUCUCAUCAAAUGAUAUACGACCAAGCUUGCUCCCGACCAAGCACGCUCAGAUUCCUUGGGAGCUCCUGCUAUCGGCAGCCGUCGAUGCAUCGGAUCCCUGAGACGAAGAACAAAAACAGCAUGCCACCUGACUGAUGACCCACCCACUGUCUACCCGGACCCAGGAGCUAGAAGGCCUUGAGAAAAAAGCCCGGGCAGGAUCCUGAUGGGCGCAGCAGAAUAUCAUCGAUGCAUGUCCCACGGCCUGACUGAAUAAUAUUUAUAUAAUCAAUGGAAGGAAAAAAACAGUUAAGAACAUUGAAAUUGGCUUGUAGGCAAGACGGAAGAUGGUCAAAACCGGUCAGAAAUUGAUGGCCUAGACACGGUUGGAGAGCUCUUGUUGGCAGAAACCACCUGAAGAUGGUCAGAUGACAUCAGCAACCUUGUGGUGAUACAAUGAACCCGAGCGGCACCGAACUGAAAAAGUUGAAGAACUUGGCAUACAUACUAUGAGACCCAUUUUAUGACUGAUAUAAGCCAAGUUCAGACUGAUUAUUGUGAUAGUUGAUAACUAAGAAUACCUAAAUAUGCUUUUAUGGUGUGUGAAAUAGUAUACUUUUUAUAAUUUAUUAAUUAAAAGUUUAAUAAAUGUUUUACUUACCUAAAGAAAAUAUUAUAUUUUUAUAACCGUUUAAUUUAGUUGUACAUGCUAGCAUACCCACUUAUUUUUUUAUAGUUAGUGUGUAGUUGAUAAAUAAUAAAGCCUGACUAGGGUUUGUCACUGUGGUGAAAGGAUUAGUCGCUGACUACCCAGUGUGCGGAUUAGAAUCAGUCGCUGACUACCCGGUGUGCCGGAUGUAUUCAAUGUACAGUUUAUAUGAUUUACACUUCAUGAACUCCACAUUUAGCAUUCAAACUAUUCAAUUAGCCACUUCAUUACCUAAAUACUUUGACGUGAAUAGGCAAACUUAAAGUAUAAGUAUGGGAGACAACUGAAAAUCUGUGGUUUGUUCCUAAGGGCAAACAUAUGCGCUGAGUUGCUUCCCUUUUGGUCUGCUUCAACACACACAUUUCGCCUCUUAAUUUAACUGUACAAAUGUUUAAGUGGAACAAAUUAAUGUCUAUCUAACUUAUUAGCACAUGUCAGCGACAGGAUUUGAAUCCACAUCUCUUCCGUGAGGGGCGGGCGCUUACCCGUCUGAGCUAACACCGCUACAUAUAAGUAAAAGAUAUAUAAUUUUAGUCAAAUAAAAAAGAGGAUGUGUGUUUUGACAAAUGUUGUUUUUGAAGCAUUUUCAAUGGGUUAUUAGAGUCCCAGAUCAUCCUCCCUAUAAGUAUUAUAGUAAUUUUCCUUUCCUGCAUCUCUUCUUGUAGAGCAAGGAUGAAAUUAACAAAAACUAAACAAAUAAUAAUUUGUGUCACAUGUUAUCACCACCUUCGAACUUGAGUGAUAUAAUGCUACCUAAACAAAUGUCAAACUGAGACAUGUGUGGAUAAAUUGGUACACCCAUGUUAGGAAAUAAGACAAAUCUUCCAAUCUCGCUGUCAAAAUUGUAACUCACAUCUUGUAGUGAUUAUUUCGUGUUGGCCAUGUUAGCGUUUGUGAGGACAACUGGUAUCACACAAUUUGUUGCAACUAGCUGUCAUUUAUAUCUUGUCACCGCCAUACUGUGCUACGCGUGCUGG